UACAGAGGGUGCGAGCGUUGUUCGGAAUUACUGGGCGUAAAGCGCGCGUAGGCUGCGACUCAAGUCAGGGGUGAAAUCCCAGGGCUCAACCCUGGAAUUGCCUUUGAAACUAAGUCGCUAGAAUAUCGGAGGGGAUAGCGGAAUUCCUAAUGUAGCAGUGAAAUGCGUAGAUAUUAGGAGGAACACCGGUGGCGAAGGCGGCUAUCUGGACGAUUAUUGACGCUGAGGCGCGAAAGCGUGGGGAUCAAACAGG
rnacentral:rRNA from 1 species